CUCUCAAACUCUACAUUACUCAUUCCAUCGCUCCACUUCUCACCCAUUUAGUCCCACUCUCUCCACUCCAUCUCCAAAUUUUGUAUAAAUAGAACUCCCUCAUUUGCUUAAUUAACAGUCCAAAAAUUUGCAGCAGGAGGCAUGGCUGAGCAUCAAGGUUCAAAAAUGGUUGCCGACGGUUCCGCAGGUGAGUGAUAUGAGGCAAAAGACAAGACGUUGCUAGACUUAUCGUGAAGAAAAAGUCCUACUAGCUUCUUUGAAGGACAUAAUAGGACAAGGAUGGAAGACGGAAAAUGGUUUCAGAAACGGAUACCUCUUCAAACUUGAAGAGGCUAUGAAACGGGAGUUCACUAACACUUAUUUAAGGGGUACCCCACACAUUUCAUCAAAAAUUACUACGUGGAAGAGGUGUUAUUCCUCGCUGCAAGAUAUUCUUAGUCGUAGCGGGAUUGGAUUCAAUCUCAAUGGCGAUCAUAGGAUGAGUGUGAGGACGAACAUUGGGAGCAAAUCAGGUAAGCCCAUAAAGAAAUCCAGUCGAUCUCUAUCUUUGACGAGGAUGUCACAAAUAUCAAGUUUGACGUGAAUAGUUAGACCAGGAAUUUGACCCAAACGAUCGUAUAACUCAUUUCUUGCCUUGCUUAAAUCAACUUCAUAACCAAUUCUGUUGGACAAGACCUCCAUUUGGAAGUUGUUUUCCUUGUGCAUAUUGGUAAAGAAAUCAAGGAAACCAUCCAUCACAUCAUCUGCUUUUCGCUUCUUACUAGACUGUCUUGGAGGUGGGUCAUCUCUCUUGCCUUGGGUGUCCUCCGUUGCAUAGUUGGGAAUAGUAUCUUUAGCAUUCUCGUUUGCCAAAAUGUCUUCUAGGAUGACGUGGUAAUCAGUACCAUCAACUCCCAUGUUGCCUAUGUUAUCAUGUCCAUCUAGUUCAUUAAUAGCUUCAAGAAUAUCUACCGCUUUCUUGCCAUUCACUCGAUGACCAAAUAUUUCUUUCUAAUCCUCCCAAUACGGCCACGACUUGUUAUGCAUAGAUCUAGCAUU